GCCCUGGUGGCCCAAUGGUUAAGUGCUUGGCUGCUAACCCAAAGGUUGGUGGUUCGAAUCCACCCAUUGGCU
rfam:Loxodonta africana unplaced genomic scaffold scaffold_51, whole genome shotgun sequence.